rnacentral:rRNA from 1 species
AGAGUUUGAUCCUGGCUCAGGAUGAACGCUAGCGACAGGCCUAACACAUGCAAGUCGAGGGGCAGCGAAGAGGUAGCAAUACCUCUGUCGGCGACCGGCGCACGGGUGAGUAACACGUAUGCAAUCCACCUGUAACAGGGGGAUAACCCGGAGAAAUCCGGACUAAUACCCCAUAAUAUGGGCGCUCCGCAUGGAGAGCCCAUUAAAGAGAGCAAUUUUGGUUACAGACGAGCAUGCGCUCCAUUAGCCAGUUGGCGGGGUAACGGCCCACCAAAGCGACGAUGGAUAGGGGUUCUGAGAGGAAGGUCCCCCACAUUGGAACUGAGACACGGUCCAAACUCCUACGGGAGGCAGCAGUGAGGAAUAUUGGUCAAUGGUCGGCAGACUGAACCAGCCAAGUCGCGUGAGGGAAGACGGCCCUACGGGUUGUAAACCUCUUUUGUCGGAGAGUAAAGUACGCUACGUGUAGCGUAUUGCAAGUAUCCGAAGAAAAAGCAUCGGCUAACUCCGUGCCAGCAGCCGCGGUAAUACGGAGGAUGCGAGCGUUAUCCGGAUUUAUUGGGUUUAAAGGGUGCGUAGGCGGCACGCCAAGUCAGCGGUGAAAUUUCCGGGCUCAACCCGGAUUGUGCCGUUGAAACUGGCGAGCUAGAGUGCACAAGAGGCAGGCGGAAUGCGUGGUGUAGCGGUGAAAUGCAUAGAUAUCACGCAGAACCCCGAUUGCGAAGGCAGCCUGCCAAGCCAUUACUGACGCUGAUGCACGAAAGCGUGGGGAUCAAACAGGAUUAGAUACCCUGGUAGUCCACGCAGUAAACGAUGACCACUAGCUGUUUGCGAUACACUGUAAGCGGCACAGCGAAAGCGUUAAGUGAUCCACCUGGGGAGUACGCCGGCAACGGUGAAACUCAAAGGAAUUGACGGGGGCCC